rnacentral:rRNA from 1 species
AGCGAACGCUGGCGGCAGGCCUAACACAUGCGAGUCGAACGAACUCUUCGGAGUUAGUGGCGGACGGGUGAGUAACACGUGGGAACGUGCCCUUUGGUUCGGAAUAACUCAGGGAAACUUGUGCUAAUACCGAAUGUGCCCUUCGGGGGAAAGAUUUAUCGCCAUUAGAGCGGCCCGCGUCUGAUUAGCUAGUUGGUGAGGUAACGGCUCACCAAGGCGACGAUCAGUAGCUGGUCUGAGAGGAUGACCAGCCACACUGGGACUGAGACACGGCCCAGACUCCUACGGGAGGAAGCAGUGGGGAAUCUUGCGCAAUGGGCGAAAGCCUGACGCAGCCAUGCCGCGUGAAUGAUGAAGGUCUUAGGAUUGUAAAAUUCUUUCACCGGGGACGAUAAUGACGGUACCCGGAGAAGAAGCCCCGGCUAACUUCGUG